CGUGGGGGGCGCGGGCGAAGUUCGUCCGCCGGACUCGGAAUGGGGCGAGACUUUGCAAAGGGCCUCGGGGUGCCUGCAGGAAGUCGCGGGCACAGCCGCGUCCAGAAAUAAGCACCCGAAGGUCGUGGUGCCAAAACCCCCCAGCGGAAAAAUGGCCAAAAAACAGGUGGGCUAUAGCCUUGGUGGGGGGCGCGGGCGAAGUUCGUCCGCCGGACUCGGAAUGGGGCGAGACAUUGCGCGGGGCCUCGGGGCGCCAAAAAUAAGCCGCGGGCAAUGCCGCGCCCAAAAAUAAGCGCCCGAAGGUCGUGGUGCCAAAACCCCCCAGCUGAAAAAUGGCCAAAAAACGGGUGGGCUAUAGCCUAAGUGGGGGGCGCGGGCGAAGUUCGUCCGCCGGAGUCGGAAUGGGGCGAGACUUUGCGAGGGGCCUCGGGGUGCCAAAAAUAAGCCGCGGGCAAAGCCGCGCCCAAAAAUAAGCGCCCAAAGGUCGUGGUGCCAAAACCCCCCAGCGGAAAAAUGGCCAAAAAACGGGUGGGCUAUAGCCUUGGUGGGGGGCGUGGGCGAAGUUCGUCCGCGGGACUCGGAAUGGCACCAGACUUGGCGGGCGGCCUCCGUGUGCCAAAAAUAGGCCACGGGCACAGCCGCGCCCAAAAACCAGCCCCCGAAGGUCGGGGUCCCAAGACCCCCCAGCGGAAAAAUGGCCAAAAAAAGGGUGGGCUAUAGCCUUGGUGGGGGGCGUGGGCGAAGUUCGUCCGCGGGACUCGGAAUGGCACCAGACUUGGCGGGCGGCCUCCGUGUGCCAAAAAUAAGCCGCGGGCAAUGCCGCGCCCAAAAAUAAGCGCCCGAAGGUCGUGGUGCCAAAACCCCCCAGCGUGAAAAAUGGCCAAAAAACGGGUGGGCUAUAGCCUAAGUGGGGGGCGCGGGCGAAGUUCGUCCGCCGGAGUCGGAAUGGCACCAGACUUGGCGGGGGGCCUCGGUGUGCCAAAAAUAGGCCGCGGGCACAGCCGCGCCCAAAAAUCAGCCCCCGAAGGUCGGGGUCCCAAGACCCCCCAGCGGAAAAAUGGCCAAAAAACGGGUGGGCUAUAGCCUUGGUGGGGGGCGUGGGCGAAGUUCGUCCGCGGGACUCGGAAUGGCACCAGACUUGGCGGGCGGCCUCCGUGUGCCAAAAAUAGGCCACGGGCACAGCCGCGCCCAAAAAACAGCCCCCGAAGGUCGGGGUCCCAAGACCCCCCAGCGGAAAAAUGGCCAAAAAACGGGUGGGCUAUAGCCUUGGUGGGGGGCGUGGGCGAAGUUCGUCCGCGGGACUCGGAAUGGCACCAGACUUGGCGGGCGGCCUCCGUGUGCCAAAAAUAGGCCACGGGCACAGCCGCGCCCAAAAAACAGCCCCCGAAGGUCGGGGUCCCAAGACCCCCCAGCGGAAAAAUGGCCAAAAAACGGGUGGGCUAUAGCCUUGGUGGGGGGCGUGGGCGAAGU
rnacentral:lncRNA from 1 species